AUUGCAGUGCAGGAGGAAAGUCCGGGCAACACAGAGCAUUCUGCUUCUUAAUGGGAAGUCGUCCGCAAGGGUGAACCAGUGUAGAAGAAAAUAACCGCCCUACGCCAUUAGGUGUUUAGGGUAAGGGUGAGAAGGUAAGGUAAGAGCUUACCAGCCAUGUGGUGACAUGUGGGCUGUACACGUCAGAAGUUGAAAGUUCAUGUAUACCAACGUCAGAGGGCUGCUCGUCCGAGAUAAUUGUAUUUUGCUACAACACGUUGGAGGGUAGAACGAUAGAGCACGUCGGCGACGGCGGGCGCGGAUAAAUGACAAGCACUACGCAUUAUUUUAUAUAAUUGCGUAAGUACAGAACCCGGCUUAUAGGCCGACUGA
rnacentral:RNase_P_RNA from 1 species